GGUUAAGUUAGAAAGGGCGCACGGUGGAUGCCUUGACACUAGGAGUCGAUGAAGGACGGGACUAACGCCGAUAUGCUUCGGGGAGCUGUAAGUAAGCUUUGAUCCGAAGAUUUCCGAAUGGGGAAACCCACCAUACGUAAUGGUAUGGUAUCCUUAUCUGAAUACAUAGGGUAAGGAAGACAGACCCAGGGAACUGAAACAUCUAAGUACCUGGAGGAAGAGAAAGCAAAUGCGAUUUCCUGAGUAGCGGCGAGCGAAACGGAACAUAGCCCAAACCAAGAGGCUUGCCUCUUGGGGUUGUAGGACAUUCUAUACGGAGUUACAAAGGAACGAGGUAGACGAAGCGACCUGGAAAGGUCCGUCGUAGAGGGUAACAACCCCGUAGUCGAAACUUCGUUCUCUCUUGAAUGUAUCCUGAGUACGGCGGAACACGUGAAAUUCCGUCGGAAUCUGGGAGGACCAUCUCCCAAGGCUAAAUACUCCCUAGUGAUCGAUAGUGAACCAGUACCGUGAGGGAAAGGUGAAAAGCACCCCGGAAGGGGAGUGAAAGAGAUCCUGAAACCGUGUGCCUACAAAUAGUCAGAGCCCGUUAACGGGUGAUGGCGUGCCUUUUGUAGAAUGAACCGGCGAGUUACGAUCCCGUGCGAGGUUAAGCUGAAGAGGCGGAGCCGCAGCGAAAGCGAGUCUGAAUAGGGCGUUUAGUACGUGGUCGUAGACCCGAAACCAGGUGAUCUACCCAUGUCCAGGGUGAAGUUCAGGUAACACUGAAUGGAGGCCCGAACCCACGCACGUUGAAAAGUGCGGGGAUGAGGUGUGGGUAGCGGAGAAAUUCCAAUCGAACCUGGAGAUAGCUGGUUCUCCCCGAAAUAGCUUUAGGGCUAGCCUUAAGUGUAAGAGUCUUGGAGGUAGAGCACUGAUUGGACUAGGGGUCCUCAUCGGAUUACCGAAUUCAGUCAAACUCCGAAUGCCAAUGACUUAUCCUUAGGAGUCAGACUGCGAGUGAUAAGAUCCGUAGUCAAAAGGGAAACAGCCCAGACCGCCAGCUAAGGUCCCAAAGUGUGUAUUAAGUGGAAAAGGAUGUGGAGUUGCUUAGACAACUAGGAUGUUGGCUUAGAAGCAGCCACCAUUUAAAGAGUGCGUAAUAGCUCACUAGUCGAGUGACUCUGCGCCGAAAAUGUACCGGGGCUAAAUACACCACCGAAGCUGCGGAUUGAUACCAAUGGUAUCAGUGGUAGGGGAGCGUUCUAAGGACAGUGAAGUCAGACCGGAAGGACUGGUGGAGUGCUUAGAAGUGAGAAUGCCGGUAUGAGUAGCGAAAGACGGGUGAGAAUCCCGUCCACCGAAUGCCUAAGGUUUCCUGAGGAAGGCUCGUCCGCUCAGGGUUAGUCAGGACCUAAGCCGAGGCCGACAGGCGUAGGCGAUGGACAACAGGUUGAUAUUCCUGUACCACCUCUUUAUCGUUUGAGCAAUGGAGGGACGCAGAAGGAUAGAAGAAGCGUGCGAUUGGUUGUGCACGUCCAAGCAGUUAGGCUGAUAAGUAGGCAAAUCCGCUUAUCGUAAAGGCUGAGCUGUGAUGGGGAAGCUCCUUAUGGAGCGAAGUCUUUGAUUCCCCGCUGCCAAGAAAAGCUUCUAGCGAGAUAAAAGGUGCCUGUACCGCAAACCGACACAGGUAGGCGAGGAGAGAAUCCUAAGGUGUGCGAGAGAACUCUGGUUAAGGAACUCGGCAAAAUGACCCCGUAACUUCGGGAGAAGGGGUGCUUUCUUAACGGAAAGCCGCAGUGAAUAGGCCCAAGCGACUGUUUAGCAAAAACACAGCUCUCUGCGAAGCCGUAAGGCGAAGUAUAGGGGGUGACACCUGCCCGGUGCUGGAAGGUUAAGGAGAGGGGUUAGCGUAAGCGAAGCUCUGAACUGAAGCCCCAGUAAACGGCGGCCGUAACUAUAACGGUCCUAAGGUAGCGAAAUUCCUUGUCGGGUAAGUUCCGACCCGCACGAAAGGUGUAACGAUUUGGGCACUGUCUCAACCAGAGACUCGGUGAAAUUAUAGUACCUGUGAAGAUGCAGGUUACCCGCGACAGGACGGAAAGACCCCGUGGAGCUUUACUGUAGCCUGAUAUUGAAUUUUGGUACAGUUUGUACAGGAUAGGCGGGAGCCAUUGAAACCGGAGCGCUAGCUUCGGUGGAGGCGCUGGUGGGAUACCGCCCUGACUGUAUUGAAAUUCUAACCUACGGGUCUUAUCGACCCGGGAGACAGUGUCAGGUGGGCAGUUUGACUGGGGCGGUCGCCUCCUAAAGUGUAACGGAGGCGCCCAAAGGUUCCCUCAGAAUGGUUGGAAAUCAUUCGUAGAGUGCAAAGGCAUAAGGGAGCUUGACUGCGAGACCUACAAGUCGAGCAGGGACGAAAGUCGGGCUUAGUGAUCCGGUGGUUCCGCAUGGAAGGGCCAUCGCUCAACGGAUAAAAGCUACCCCGGGGAUAACAGGCUUAUCUCCCCCAAGAGUCCACAUCGACGGGGAGGUUUGGCACCUCGAUGUCGGCUCAUCGCAUCCUGGGGCUGUAGUCGGUCCCAAGGGUUGGGCUGUUCGCCCAUUAAAGCGGUACGCGAGCUGGGUUCAGAACGUCGUGAGACAGUUCGGUCCCUAUCCGUCGUGGGCGUAGGAAAUUUGAGAGGAGCUGUCCUUAGUACGAGAGGACCGGGAUGGACGCACCGCUGGUGUACCAGUUGUUCUGCCAAGGGCAUAGCUGGGUAGCUAUGUGCGGAAGGGAUAAGUGCUGAAAGCAUCUAAG
rnacentral:rRNA from 1 species